GCCUCUAUAACUCAGUGGUUAGAGCACUGGUCUUGUAAACCAGGUCUCGUAAAUCUUGUGGUGAGUUCAAAUGUCACUGGAAGAU
rnacentral:tRNA from 1 species